AUUGAACGCUGGCGGCAGGCUUAACACAUGCAAGUCGAGCGGAGAGAGGUAGCUUGCUACUGAUCUUAGCGGCGGACGGGUGAGUAAUGCUUAGGAAUCUGCCUAUUAGUGGGGGACAACAUUUCGAAAGGAAUGCUAAUACCGCAUACGUCCUACGGGAGAAAGCAGGGGAUCUUCGGACCUUGCGCUAAUAGAUGAGCCUAAGUCGGAUUAGCUAGUUGGUGGGGUAAAGGCCUACCAAGGCGACGAUCUGUAGCGGGUCUGAGAGGAUGGUCCGCCACACUGGGACUGAGACACGGCCCAGACUCCUACGGGAGGCAGCAGUGGGGAAUAUUGGACAAUGGGCGCAAGCCUGAUCCAGCCAUGCCGCGUGUGUGAAGAAGGCCUUAUGGUUGUAAAGCACUUUAAGCGAGGAGGAGGCUACUUUAGUUAAUACCUAGAGAUAGUGGACGUUACUCGCAGAAUAAGCACCGGCUAACUCUGUGCCAGCAGCCGCCGUAAUAC
rnacentral:rRNA from 1 species